CCAGACUAUUGAAGCCACACAUUUGAGCCUGUGGACUACAGUGAAAACACCCCCCACCCCUCCAUCUCCAUCUCACAACACCACCAGCAGCAGCAGCCCCCUCCCUCAGCUGGCGUGUUUGAGCUUCUCAGCAGGGGGCCUGCAGUUCCAGAGAUAUGUGGGGGUGGUGUGUGUGUGCGUCAGUGCGUGUGGGUGUGCGUGUGUGUGUGUGUGUGUGUGUGUGUGUGUGUGUGUGUGUGUGUGUGUGUGUUCGUGCAGAGGCAUGUGUGUGCAGCCUUUCGGCUUCUCCCUGGAUGUGCUAAUGUGUUAAUUGAGUAUUCCAAGUUCUGCCUGCAACUGUGUCGCCACACACACACACACACACACACACACACACACACACACACAAACACACAAACACACAAACACACAAACACACAAACACACUUAAACAUCACACAGCUGGUUUGUCUCAGAAUAGCUUCCUCUCUUCUUGAUGACAUUCUUCAGCCUGAGCUGUGUUGAGUAGUUAGUGAUAACACAUGCAUGGAUUAAUCUGCACUUCAUUUGUUGCUUUUGUGCUUUAGAUGUGUGUGUCGCAUCAUCUUUAACACGUACACAUAGCCUUGUUUUUUUUUUCUGUGGCACCAGACCCUAAAGCCUAAACAUGUGAGCAGAUUAUUAAAUGGCUCUUUUAUAAAUAUUAUUGUAAAUGUAUGUUAAUAAAGCUGGGAACACUUCAACCUGAACCUGAUAUCUGUUUGUUUUAAAUACAUGGUUGCAAAAACAGACAAGAGAGUGAAGAUAUAAAGUUUGAAGGAAACUAGUUGCUUACAAAAGUGCAUAAUGCACUCCUUCCCUCUUUUCUCCCAUAUUCAUGCACUGUCUCAUUGCAGGAAGAAGAAGCACAACGAUGUCUCAAAAAUCCCUUUAAAGGAGCCACCAGAGAUCCCAGGGACCAGUGAGCAGCAUCCAGAGACCGGCUCUAGUCCCCAGCCCGGAGUCUGAGGAGCUGCGAACUGAGGAGCUGUUCUGCGUUCAGAAGCCAGUGUAAAUUCUCACCCAGUGAACUCCUCACGUGCCUCGAUGGAGCAUUAGACGGCCUCUCCAGCUGGAAGAACGAGUGCUGUGUGGGCUCCCUGAAGUGGUGCAACACUGGGUCGUUGGAGAGCCACAGCGUGCUUGGGAACAGAGCAGUCUGUGUUUUUCUUUUUUUUUCCAGCUCUGCCUUUUGGAUGGAGGGCCAUUUCACAGGCAUCAUGGAUUAAUCUUUGGUGGGAUUUCUCUGGGAUCAAACUGAAUUGGAUGUUUAACCUCACGUGUCCUGGCUGAGCGUUCUCUACUGAUAAACCAGGAUAGAGGAUUGAAUGUGACCCACAUUGGGUUAAACACCACACUCUCUUAAAUGUGCUUAAACUGACUCCUCAGUGAAAAGGUAGAAAAAUAAGAAUACUUCAGUCCACCAAGGCCUGAAAAAUUGGGACAUUCAUAUCAGUAUGUUCCAUUAAGUUAUUCCUCAGUGCAUGAAGAUGACAUUUUUAGGCCUCUGUUUAGCUUCUUCCACACAAACACUUUUAUUUUUGCUCUGAAUUAAAUUGUUUGUUCUGUACUGUACUCUGAUGGUUUCUGAACUUUGGACUUGUACUUGAUGUCUAGCUACUCCUAAACAAACUCAAAAUAAUUUUGAGUACAAGUCCUGCUCAGGUAAAAAGGGCUGACCUGUUUGUACAUGUAUUCAUCGCUCACUGUAGCUGUCCUUUUAAUUUACACCAUAACACAGACUAGGGGCUUAAAAUCUCCUCUGUCAAUGAUACACUUUUAAAAGCUUAAAUCUGGCUGAGUGUGGAAACAUAACCUUGCUCUGUUUGUCAGAGGCAGUGAUUGAUGGCUCUGAAUUUAACAUGGAUGGCAAAUGUUGAAAUUCCACAUGCAGAGAGAGCUGUGUGGAUAUAGUGGAUUCCUCAUAAACAACUUAGCACAAACGCACAAUAUUGAUGAAUAAACAUGAAUUCGAUCUGCUUUCUUAUUAACAGACAAACAUGAAACCAGAUGCUGCUUAUCAAUGAGAUCUUUGUUAGUGACGUGCUGCAAUAUUGAGAGUUUUCAUAAUGAAGCAUCAUUUUCACAGAUGUGACAGUUUAGACUUUAGAGAGAAUUUAACCCUCAAUAAAACAGAUUUUAACCUUUUCCUCUGAAUCAACAUCACUCUGCCAUAUUGGGAAUGUUUGAAAUUGGUUUCUUUUUGUUGUUAAAAGAGGACUUAUAUUUACAUGACUUAUUUAUGGUGCAAUAAGUAAACACACUGUGUGACAAACAUAUACACUUUAUAUUAUAAUAAACAACAGAGAUGUUUUCAUUUUAGUGGUCUGUAUAAAUACUUCAAACAUUAAUAUACAUGUUGAUUUAUGAUGGGUUCACAGUGAUGUUAAACUAAAACAUGAACAUUAAU